rfam:Vigna angularis cultivar Jingnong 6 chromosome 9, whole genome shotgun sequence.
AGAUCUCAGGUUAGGUGGGAUAACCUGUUGAGUUUAAGCAUAUCAAUAAGCGGAGGAAAGAAACUAACAAGGAUUCCCUUACAAACGGCAAGCGAACUAGGAAUAACCCACCAUGAGAAUUGGUCGCUUCUGGCAUUCGAAUUAUAGUCUGAAGAACCGUCCUCAAUCGUGGAUCGGGCCCACGUUCCCUCGAACGAGCCGCUAGAGAGAGUCAGAGCCCUGUUGUGUCUGGACCUUGUCACACCAUGAGGUGCUAUCGACAAGUCGGGUUGUUUGCAAAUGCAGCUCCAAUCGGACAGUAAAUUUCGUCCAAGGCUAAAUACUAGUAAGAGACCAAAAACGAACAAGUACCGCGAGGGAAAGAUGAAAAAAACUUUGAAAAGAGAGUCAAAGAGUGCUUGAAAUUAUAGGACGGGAAGCAAAUGGGGUCGGUGAUGUGUCUCGGUCGGAUGUAGAAUGGUGAUAACCGGUCUACCGAUUGACUUGAGACAUUAACCAACACGGAUUAUAAUGGUAGCCCAAUCCCGGCUUAUUGAAAUGGUCAUCGAGACGUCAUUGUCGCGAUUGUGGAGGGUAGCUCGCCUCAAUCGUGUCUUGGCACCUAUGUGUUGUGGGCCUCAACUUAUGGGCUUCUCAUUCGACCCGUCUUGAAACACGGAUCAAGGAGUCUGACAUGUGAGUGAGUCAACGGGAGAGUAAACACGUAAGACGCAAGGAAAUUGAUUGGUGGGAUCCCAUUGUGGGUUGCAUCGUCGAUCGACCCUAAUCUUCUGCGACGGGUUCGAGUGAGAGCAUACCUGUUUGAACCUUAAAGAUUAUGAACUAUGACUGAGCGGGGGGAAGCCAGAGGAAACUAUGAUGGAGACCCGCAACGUAACUAACGUGCAAAUCCUUCGUCCGACUUAGGUAUACGAGUGAAAAACUAAUCCAACAUUCUAGUAGCUGGUUCCCUCCAAAGUUUCCCACAGGAUAGCUAGGGCCCACGAGCGAGUUCUAUCUAGUAAAGCCAAUUAUUAGAAGCAUCGAGGGCGCAACACCCUCGACGUACUUUUAAAAUUUAAAUAGGUAGGACGGUGCAACUGCUCUAUUGAGUCGUGCCAUGGAAUCGAGAGCUCCAAGUGGGCCAUUUUUGGUAAGCAAAACUAGCGAUGUGGGAUGAACCAAAAGUUUGGUUACGAUGGUCAACUACGCACUAACCUAAACCCCACAAAGGGUGUUAGUCGAUUAAGGCAACAUGAUGGUGGUCAUGGAAGUCAAAAUUUGGUAAGGAGUGUGUAAGAACUCACCUGCCGAAUCUACUAGCCCCAAUGGAUGGCGCUAAAGCGCACAACCUAUACUUGACCGUCAGGAUAAGGACCCACUAUUGAUGAGUAGGAUUGUGCGACAAUCGCUUCAAAAUACAAAGCGUGAGAAUAGAAGGGUUUCGUGUGAACAACACUUGCACAUGGGUUAAUCGAUCCUAAGAGACGGGUGAAGUCGGUCUGAUAACGCUUUCAACAUGUACUCUGAAAGGGAAUUAGGUUAAAAUUCCUAAAAGGAGAUGUGGCAACUGACAACAACAUUAGGGAGUCCGAAGACAACAAAGGGGGCCCUAGAAACAAUUAUCUUUUUUAUUUAACAGCCUGCCUACCCUACAAACGGCUCAACUAGUGGUAGGGUUCAGCGGUUGGAAGAGCAUCGCAUGUUGAGUGGUUUCUCGUGCGCCCCCGAUGGCCUUUUAAAAUCUGAAGGACCGAAUGCCUCCCACGCUGGAUCGUACUCGCAUCAGGUCUCUAAGGAGAACAACCUAUGGUCGAUGGAACAAUGUAAGCAAGGGAAGUCGGUAAAAUGGAUCUGUAACCUUAGGAAGAGGAUUACCUCUAAGGGUUGGGCAUGGGGGUCCCAGUCUCAAACCUUUUGGCUGUCGAUGGACAGCUCGAGCUGCUCCCACAGUGAGAGCGGGUCAUCGCAGGCCGGUCGACGGAUGGAUAUGGAACGAGUCCUUCGAGGCCUCUUCCCUAGGCUUCAAACAGUCGACUCAGAACUAGUAUGAAUAAGGGGAAUUCGACUGAUUUAUUAAAACAAAGCAUUGUGAUGGUCCUUGCAGAUGUUCAAGCAAUGUGAUUUAUGCCUAGUGCUCUGAAUGUCAAAGUGAAGAAAUUCAACCAAGCUUAGGUAAACAACAGGAGUAACUAUGACUCUCUUAAGGUAGCCAAAUGCCUCUUCAUCUGAUUAGUACUGUCCUUGUCUAUUAUCCAGCAAAACCACAACCAAGGUGAUGGAAUCCUAUUUAGUAUCAACUUAAGUUAAGGCUAAGAAAGGAAAGUUGAAGAAGGACUUCUAAAACCUCUUUCUUCAUUUUCUUUCUCUAUGUCUUAGAAGGAUUCUCUUUUAAUAUGCUUAUAUGUUGUUUUAUAGGGUCCAAUAAAGCUAGGAGGUCAUGAACCAACCAGAAAUGAAGUCAUCUAGUCAAAGGAAGCAAAAGAGCCAAAAAAAGGGCAAAAUUCCUGUUACCUUCCGGAUUAUAAGUGUGAAGGAAUUUUUCUUCCGGAUUGUGAGCCACGCCCAGCCAACACCAUCACCCGCCCAGCCAUUGCGUAGCAGAUUUCACAUUAUGCAAUGUUUUUUAUGUGCUCUUGGUGUGGGAUGCAUAAUCUAGCCAAUUGUCCUUCUUAGCUAGAUUUGUAUUUGAUUUUUGGAGGGAAACUUGGUCAGAAAGAAGGCUCCUCUUCACCAAUAAAUAAAAGGGCCAUUACCUUGUAAAAAUUCACUUUGGAGUGUAAUGAAAUGCUGAAGUUUUAUUCCAGCCUCUUAUACUCUAGUCACCCACUAAAUUUUGAAUUCAAUUACUCUCCUCUAGCUUCCUUCCUUAAUAGGAAUGUGUUCUGAGCUCAGAGGCUUCAAACACCACCAUUUCCUUCAUUCACACAUUCACCACCAUUUUGAAGAACUUAUUUGUUGAACUUGUUUGUUAUUGUUUGGUUGAACUUGUUUGUUAUUGUUGUUGUUUGAUUGAACUUGUUUUUUGUUGGUUAUUGUUGUUUGUUCUUGAUACUACGUUCAUAGUUUUUGCUUUAUAAAAAACCAAAAACUGAAAUUUGUUGUUUUUCUGCUUUUUAGAUCUCGUAGAGUUGUAAAAAAGUAUCACAAUUAAUUAAAAAAACAAAAAAAGGUGAUUAACGUCGUAUAUUAACAAAAUUAGAUGUUAAAUUAACGUCAUAUAUUGACAAAAUUCGACGUUAACUAGACGUCGAAUUUUUUAAAUUCGACGUCAAUUUAACGUCUCCUAAUAUGAUGUUGUUCGCGAAUUUGCCGUUAAAAGCUCAAAAUAUUCGACGUUGUAUGCGAUUUUUGUACUAGUGAACAAAAGUGAAAUACCAUUACUUUUCAUGUUAUUUUACUUAUUCAGUGAAUCAAAGGCAGGGGCUGCCCAUCCUUUUGGUCCCAAGGUCGGCUUCGAUUGGUUGAUCUGGGCGGAAGACAUUGUGAGAUGGGAAGUUCGGCUAGGGUGGCACAUCUGUUAAAAGAUAACGCUUGUGUCUUAAGAUGAGCUCAAUGAGAACAUAAAUCUCAUGUCGAAGAAAAGGCUAAAAGCUCAUUUGGUUUUAAUCUCCAGUACGAAUACGAACGUGAAAGUGUGGCCUAUCAAUUCUUUAGUCCUUCGGAAUUUUAAGCUAGAGUUGUCAGAAAAGUUACCAUAGGGAUAAGUGGUUUGUGGUAGACAAGCGUUCAUAGCGAUGUGGCUUUUUUAUCAUUCGAUGUUGGCUCUUCCUAUCCUUGUGAAACAUAAUUCACCAAGUCUUAGAUUGUUAUCCCACCAAAAGGGAACCUAAGCUAGGUUUAGACUAUCGUGAGACAAGUUAUUUUUACCCUACUAAUGAUAGUGUCGCAAGAAUAAUUCAACCUAGUACGAGAAGAACUAUUGAUUCACACAAUUGGUUAUCGCGCUUGGUUGAAAAGCCAAUGGCAUGAAGCUACCGUGCAUAGGAUUAUGAUUGAACACCUCUAAGUUAGAAUCUAGGCUAGAAGAGAUGUGUGUGCCUAUCGUUUGUUUGCUGACCAACAGUAGGGGGCUUUACCCCCCCCCCCCCCCCCCCCCCCCAAAGGCAUGUGACGUUGGUGAACCUAUGAAUCAGCCUUAUGAGAUGCCUUGAAGUGCAAUUUCCAUCAGGCGACACAUGGUAUUUAAUUGGCAAAGUGGCCUUGCUGUCACGAUCCACUAAGAUUCAGCCCUUAUUGCUUUGAUUUAU